rnacentral:rRNA from 1 species
CCUACGGGCGUCAGCAGUGAGGAAUAUUGGUCAAUGGACGAGAGUCUGAACCAGCCAAGUAGCAUGAAGGAUGACUGCCCUAUGGGUUGUAAACUUCUUUUAUAUGGGAAUAAAAUGUUCCACGUGUGGGAUUUUGUAUGUACCAUAUGAAUAAGGAUCGGCUAACUCCGUGCCAGCAGCCGCGGUAAUACGGAGGAUCCGAGCGUUAUCCGGAUUUAUUGGGUUUAAAGGGAGCGUAGGUGGAUUGUUAAGUCAGUUGUGAAAGUUUGCGGCUCAACCGUAAAAUUGCAGUUGAAACUGGCAGUCUUGAGUACAGUAGAGGUGGGCGGAAUUCGUGGUGUAGCGGUGAAAUGCUUAGAUAUCACGAAGAACUCCGAUUGCGAAGGCAGUUCACUGGCCUGCAACUGACACUGAGGCUCGAAAGUGUGGGUAUCAAACAGGAUUAGAUACCCGGGUAGUC